rnacentral:tRNA from 1 species
CAGGGAGACAACAAAAUGUUUAAUAUUAUUAUUUUGUCACCUUAGGUCGAUCGGUAUCUCACGUUCUUAAUUUAUUAAGAAUUUCAUUUCCUAAGUUUUUCUAGGUCACACCCAUUAUUUUUCCUGGGCCAUUAGCUCAGGUGGUUAGAGCGCACCCCUGAUAAGGGUGAGGUCCCUGGUUCAAGUCCAGGAUGGCCCAUAUCUCUAUGUUGGGGGUAUAGCUCAGUUGGUAGAGCGCCUGCUUUGCAAGCAGGAUGUCAGCGGUUCGAGUCCGCUUACCUCCACUGAUUACCACCUCUUCCAUAAACUGGAGUAAGGAAAUUUUUUGGUUGUGAUCAAAUUCUGAACGAAUCUAGCUUCCUAAUGAAAUCAUUAAGAUGCUGGACUCAUUGAAUUAAUUUCAUUGUUUUCAGAGAACCUUGACAACUGCAUAGAUUAUUUUUAAAGACAAUAAGCAUCUUUAAUGAUGCAGAUUUAUUAUUUGUGCAAAUGCAUUAAUAACAAUUCUAUUAAGCUGAUGCUUCAA